rnacentral:lncRNA from 1 species
AUAGCAUAGGACAGCCCAUGGACUUGAACCACCUCAGUGCGUAUGGGAGGGAUGUUUAAGUGCAUUAUUAUUGUCAAUAAUUGUCAGAACGAGUCACAGAAGGUAUCUGUGCCCAUAUUUUCCAAGUUUAUUGAAAAAAAAAAGAUUAUUUAGCAGGUAGUUUUUACAACGUAUGGUGUACGUAUUCCGCCGUUCUGGUGAGUCUAACCGGUAAAUCCAAUAAAAACCAUUCGCAUAUCAAAUGAUAGCUUAUACCCUAAGCUUCAUUUUUUGUUAUGGGCACAACCUUGUAAACCACCGGAGAACGAAGAUA